GAUGAACGCUGGCGGCGUGCUUAACACAUGCAAGUCGAACGAAGCACUUUUAAUUCUUCGGAAGAGAAAGUGACUGAGUGGCGGACGGGUGAGUAACGCGUGGGUAACCUGCCUUAUACAGGGGGAUAACAGUUAGAAAUGACUGCUAAUACCGCAUAAGCCGAUAGAGUCGCAUGACUUAGUCGGAAAAGAUUUAUCGGUAUAAGAUGGACCCGCGUCUGAUUAACUGGUUGGUGAGGUAAUGGCCCACCAAGGCGACGAUCAGUAGCCGGCUUGAGUGAGUGAACGGCCGCAUUGGGGCAGAGACACAGCCCAAACUCCUACGGGAGGCAGCAGUGGGGAAUAUUGCACAAUGGGGGAAACCCUGAUGCAGCAACGCCGCGUGAAGGAAGAAGUAUUUCGGUAUGUAAACUUCUAUCAGCAGGGAAGAAAAUGACGGUACCUGACUAAGAAGCCCCGGCUAACUACGUGCCAGCAGCCGCCGUAA
rnacentral:rRNA from 1 species